UAUCAAGGUCCAUAUCAAUGUCCAUAUCAAUUUCCCAUGUUCCAUUACAUAUCCCGUGUUCUUUCCUUCUUCCAGCUUUUACAUGCUAGCCUUUUAUACAAUGAUUCCUCUCAUCUCGACUCGUUUGAUGAAUGGGCGUUUAGUUUUUGCAACAACAUAUGCGUUGGGUUAUCUCAUAUCGGGAAACACUUUCUGCCACUUUUAACUUGAACAAAGUUGGAGAAAUAAAGUGAUGGCAGAUAUUGCAAGUUGUUUAUAGUGUGCCUGUAGAAAUGUAAAAACGCUAUGUUUCGUGAAUGCCCAGCCUGUAAAUCGAAAUAAGAUUUCGUAUUUAUUAAGCAUUGGAAGAUCACAAUUGUGACUUUGUGGGUUUCGUAAAGAACAUCAUAUAGAUUUCUUUGACCAAGUGUAAUAAAGCAAAACACACGGACAUAGUAUGGAUAUGGACACAGCAUGGGUAUGGACACAAGCAACACUACCAGUCGUUUGAAACGAUGAAAUGGGCAACAAGUCGAUUUGUUUUUCAUCUAUCAAUCGUUGUAAUUCACAUGCAGCUACAAGACGACACGUUAUAUUUAGGGUGCAAAGCAGGUAGAGAUUUCAUAGGCAUAUUUCGAAGUACCAGCUUUAUGCCAAAACAUGCAUGCAUGCAAGAAACUCCCNUAACUUCGUUUGCGCAACUCCUGCUUAUCGUCUUCUUUCUAUACCCAUACUGNUGGGAUCAAUGAAUGAACGUAGCAAUAGAUACAAGAUNUAGCGCCAACNUUUUGAG
rnacentral:sRNA from 1 species